CACAACCAGAAGUCUGCUGUCUACAAACCUAAGCACAUUCUCACCAGACACCAGAUCUGCCAGCACCUUGAUCUUGGACUGCCCAGACUCCAGAACUUAGGCGCAAAUGUGUGGCAGUGAGAAUAACAUGCAAAUCAAAAUCUAGGAGAUUGCUUCACCUAAAGUCUGAUAACGCAGGGGAGGUGAAAGCUCUGAAAGACAUUAUUUCUACCAUCACACUGCAGUCUCCUGGACAGACUGUUAAAAGGUGCAGAGGAGCAAGGAAACACGGCGUGGAGGCGUCUGUGGAUAGAAUAAAGCACACACUUUAUUCACUGAGUGGUGAGUGUACAGCAG